GAUGAACGCUGGCGGCGUGCCUAACACAUGCAAGUCGAGCGAUUCUCUUCGGAGAAGAGCGGCGGACGGGUGAGUAACGCGUGGGUAACCUGCCCUGUACACACGGAUAACAUACCGAAAGGUAUGCUAAUACGAGAUAACAUACUUUUAUCGCAUGGUAGAAGUAUCAAAGCUCCGGCGGUACAGGAUGGACCCGCGUCUGAUUAGCUAGUUGGUAAGGUAACGGCUUACCAAGGCGACGAUCAGUAGCCGACCUGAGAGGGUGAUCGGCCACAUUGGAACGGAGACACGGUCCAAACUCCUACGGGAGGCAGCAGUGGGGAAUAUUGCACAAUGGGCGAAAGCCUGAUGCAGCAACGCCGCGUGAGCGAUGAAGGCCUUCGGGUCGUAAAGCUCUGUCCUCAAGGAAGAUAAUGACGGUACUUGAGGAGGAAGCCCCGGCUAACUACGUGCCAGCAGCCGCCGUAA
rnacentral:rRNA from 1 species